GAAAGACUAGUUUAAAAAAACAUGAAGUUUCGACCUUCAAAUUCCUAGAAACAACUCUAAGGUCCUUCU
rnacentral:tRNA from 1 species